rnacentral:lncRNA from 10 species
ACAGAUCGCAAGCUAAAUCAUCCAUCUUAGGAGGUACAGACUACAGGGGGCCGUGGCUUCCUCUUAACCGCGGCAGCUGCUGAUAAAUACUGUACUAUUAACAGUGAGGCCCGGCGUAAUUUCCUUAUUAGAGGGCUUCUUUACGUCUCUUCAUCCCAAACUGGGAAAAGAUGCUGUUGACUGGGGCAAAGAAUAAUGGGAGAAAAACAGCUGGGUCCUAAAUAACAGAGGGAAACCAACUUUCAAUAAAGUAUUCAACAACU